CAGCCGCCGCGGUAAUACGUAGGCAGCAAGCGUUGUUCGGAGUUACUGGGCGUAAAGGGUGCGUAGGCGGCUUUUUAAGUUUGGUGUGAAAUCUCCCGGCUCAACCGGGAGGGUGCGCCGAAUACUGAGAGGCUAGAGUGCGGGAGAGGAAAGUGGAAUUCCUGGUGUAGCGGUGAAAUGCGUAGAUAUCAGGAGGAACACCGGUGGUGUAAACGGCUUUCUGGACCGUAACUGACGCUGAGGCACGAAAGCGUGGGUAGCAAACAGGAUUAGAUACCCCGGUAGUCCCUGUCUCUUAUAC
rnacentral:rRNA from 1 species